rnacentral:lncRNA from 1 species
GGAAAAAUUUUAGGCAACAAAAACAACGGCUAAAAGGAGAUUGAAAUGAGCUAAACCAAGGAAUUUUUUGAAGCUGAAAAAUGAGUUCUUUUAGUUUAUAAAGUUGAUGAUGAUUUUUUUCUUUAAUUCCUCGAAAACAAAGUUCGGGUACUAAUGUACCUAAUUUCACGGUCACGUCAUUCUCUGCUACCUAAAGGGGUUUCCCCAUACUUUUCUGCUAAGCGACCGUUUAUUCUAAGAUAUAACGAGAGGUAAGAUGGCAAUACGGUGUACUAUUUAACGAAAUAUUGCAUAAUGUGACGAGUGACGCUUAGAGCACAGUAAGACCGGAUCUAGUGAAGCCGAAUGCAUGGAAGAAGCCCUCUCUUGGGCCACAGCAAAAUAAAGGGCCGCAGCGAACCAAGGCUAACUCGUAAUUAACACUAGUUGUACUGUGUAGCACUAUGCAGGAUUAAAGAGACUUUGCAAAGCCGGGAGAUUGUCUUAAUGUGGACUAUACGUACGUUACUAGAAAAUUGAGUCGCUAUGGCAUGCGCUAUUGUGAAAAGUGGAGAGGGGGGCAGGGAAGUGAAUGACUCGGUGGUACUUUACGUACUCUCAUGUACUGCGUGUUUCUAAUCGUCAGGUGAAUCCAAAUAAUCCCCUUGUUUUGUUCACAUCAAUAAUAUGUCUUAAUUAUCUUCUUCUGCCUGCUUCCCCAGAUUCUCUUCUGUACCCCAUCUUUUAACAUUUUCUCAUGCCAAUUUGAACAAGAUAGACAUGUGAAGAGCGAAAAAAAUUUAUUUACACAUUCGGUAAUCAAAAGUGGGGACUUGUUAUCCUUUGAAGAAUCCUUACAGAAUGUGGAUUUUCUUUUGUUUUGCCACUACGCAAAAGAAACAUUUUCUUUCUUCUUUUUUUGGCAAGCGAGAAAAGGGUUGAUCGGGACUGACAUUGGUAAACACUGCAAUACAUUACAUGUCGGGAACCUUUUUUUUUUGUCUUGGCUUUCUCUAAUCUUUGUUUGCAAAACGGUCAACAACUAACACCGUGUUGCCAGAUGACAUUUUCUAUAGUUCACUACUUCAUGGGUGAAGAAGUGCUCUUUUUCAACGGUGCUCUGUAGAGGCUUUUAUUUGGUAGCUGCAGCAAGCUUCCCAUGCUCUCUUGGUAACAAAAUAAUUACAGAUGAAAUGAACCAAAGAAAAAAUUCGAAAUAUGUCAGCAAUCCUAAGCUAAGUUAAGGUGCACUGCGUUAAAAAUCAUUAUGCGUCAUGUGAUGGAAACUACUUAAAGAUUUAUUAAUUGAUAAUUAUGAAAGAAGUAGCAUUCGAGAAAAUUUAGGAUUCUUCUGAUAUUUAAAUUCUACAUUAAAAAUCGUAAGUAGAGUUCAUCUAAACUUAGGAACGAGGUUCAUACAUAAGCAAUUUCAAUGAUAAGUCACAAUAUCAUUUAUAUAUACAAGAAUAUCAAUAGCAGUGUUACUCAGAUUACCUCUAUACCACAA